AGUAAUGUGUCUGAAAAAGAUAUAUUUUGAUAAAAUAUUUAUGUAUAAAAAUUUUAUACCAUUACUA
rnacentral:tRNA from 1 species